rnacentral:rRNA from 1 species
AUUGAACGCUGGCGGCAGGCCUAACACAUGCAAGUCGAACGGUAACAGGAAGAAGCUUGCUUCUUUGCGGGCGAGAGGCGGGAGGGUGAGAAAUGUAUGGGCAAAGGCCUGAUGGAGGGGGAUACGUACUGGAAACGGUAGCUACUACCGCAUAACGUCGCAAGACCAAAGAGGGGGACGUUCGGGCCUAUUGCAAUCGGAUGUGCCCAGAUGGGAUUAGCUAGUUGGUGGGGUAACGGCUUACCAAGGCGACGAUCCCUAGCUGGUCUGAGAGGAGGACCAGCCACACUGGAACUGAGACACGGUCCAGACUCCUACGGGAGGCAGCAGUGGGGAAUUUUGCACAAUGGGCGCAAGCCUGAUGCAGCCAUGCCGCGUGUAUGAAGAAGGCCUUCGGGUUGUAAAGUACUUUCAUCCGGGAGGAAGGGAGUUAAGUUAAUACCCUUGCUCAUUGACGUUACCCGCAGAAGAAGCACCGGCUAACUCCGUG